CUGGCUGUGUGACUUUAGUUAAAAAACAAAGAUACCUGAAGAAGAAAACCACCACCACAACAAACAAAGAUACUUGAUAUUUUGGUUAGCCUGUGCAACCUGGUCACGGCUGAAAAUGCAUAAUUUCUCUCAGCUUAAAAAAGAAAAAAACAAUUUCCACCUGCUGUGUAUUCAGACCCUUAUCCAUCUGAAGAACCAAAAUCAGGAACCACAGACUUAGGCCAAGCCCCUUAUUUUACAAGUAAAUUAAAAUGCAGACCUCA